CUCGAGCAGGUACGAAAGUAGGUCUUAGUGAUCCGGUGGUUCUGAAUGGAAGGGCCAUCGCUCAACGGAUAAAAGGUACUCCGGGGAUAACAGGCUGAUACCGCCCAAGAGUUCAUAUCGACGGCGGUGUUUGGCACCUCGAUGUCGGCUCAUCACAUCCUGGGGCUGAAGUAGGUCCCAAGGGUAUGGCUGUUCGCCAUUUAAAGUGGUACGCGAGCUGGGUUUAGAACGUCGUGAGACAGUUCGGUCCCUAUCUGCCGUGGGCGUUGGAAGAUUGAGAGGGGUUGCUCCUAGUACGAGAGGACCGG
rnacentral:rRNA from 1 species